rnacentral:rRNA from 1 species
CAGUCGCCACGGUAAUACGAAGGGUGCAAGCGUUACUCGGAAUUACUGGGCGUAAAGCGCACGUAGGCGGAUACUUAAGUCAGGGGUGAAAUCCCGGGGCUCAACCCCGGAACUGCCUUUGAUACUGGGUAUCUCGAGUCCGGAAGAGGUGAGUGGAAUUCCGAGUGUAGAGGUGAAAUUCGUAGAUAUUGGAUGGAACACCGGUGGCGAAAGCGGCUCUCUGGCCCGGAUCUGACGCUGAGGCGCGAAAGCGUGGGGAGCAAACAGGAUUAGAUACCCGCGUAGUCCCUGUCUCUUAUAC